rnacentral:sRNA from 1 species
AUCCCGCAUCUGAGAGGCGCAGCUGCCUCCACCCGCCUAGUCCCGCCCAAGGGUUCAAUGAGCGCCUACUGUGUACUUUUGGGGCAGGAGCUGGGGUCUCCUUUUGUGGCCCAGGGCACAAGUUCAGCAGCUGGCCAAGGGCCGCCGGCAUGCAUUCUUGCUGCUACCCUUGAUGCAUUCAUUCCAGCCAGGGCAGGGCUCGCGUGUCUUUGGGACCUAUUAGGCAGAUGCCCUAGAGGCUGAGCGACUUGCUCACCGCUCCAGCGACAUGGGCCACCCGCCACCCCUCAGCUGAAGCCGGAAGUCAGCACCUAUUAGGUGCCGCCUCUAUUCAGUCGGACUUGGAAAGGGUUCACGUGGAUCCCUUGCUCAGCUCAGAGGCAAGGUCUCCAGGUGAAGUGACAAGAAAUGAGCAUGGGCCAAGGCCGGAGGCGGUGGCUCAUGCCUGUAAUCCCAACACUUUGGAAGGCUGAGGCAGGCAGAUCACGAGGUCAGGAGUUCGAGACCAUUCUGGCCCACAUGGAGAAACCCUGUCUCUACUAAAAAUACAAAAAUUAGCUGGGUGUGGUGGCAUGUGCCUAUAAUCCCAGCUACUCAGGAGGCUGAGGCAGGACAAUUGCUUGAACCAGGGAGUCGGGUGUUGCAGUGAGCCGAGAUCGUGCCACAGCACACCAGCCUAGCGACAGUGAGACUCCAUCUCAAAAAAAAAAAAAAAGUCUCAAAGUCAAGAUUCCACCUGGCAAGUUCUGGAAGGCGUGCAAGAUGAAUUGCCUAUCACAGCCCCCUUUCUACAAGACUACCAAGUGGGGUUCAGAGAAGUGGGGAACUGCCCAGGGCUACACCUGCCUCCCACGCCUUCCUAAUCCACAGACAGGCAAUCUAUACCUGCGGGGGCCCCUGAAGAAGUCCAAUGCACCGCUUGUCAAUGUGACCCUCUACUAUGAAGCACUGUGCGGUGGCUGCCGAGCCUUCCUGAUCCGGGAGCUCUUCCCAACAUGGCUGUUGGUCAUGGAGAUCCUCAAUGUCACGCUGGUGCCCUACGGAAACGCACAGGAACAAAAUGUCAGCGGCAGGUGGGAGUUCAAGUGCCAGCAUGGAGAAGAGGAGUGCAAAUUCAACAAGGUGGAGGCCUGCGUGUUGGAUGAACUUGACAUGGAGCUAGCCUUCCUGACCAUUGUCUGCAUGGAAGAGUUUGAGGACAUGGAGAGAAGUCUGCCACUAUGCCUGCAGCUCUACGCCCCAGGGCUGUCGCCAGACACUAUCAUGGAGUGUGCAAUGGGGGACCGCGGCAUGCAGCUCAUGCACGCCAACGCCCAGCGGACAGAUGCUCUCCAGCCACCGCACGAGUAUGUGCCCUGGGUCACCGUCAAUGGGGUAAGAAUCUUUUUAGCCCUCAGCUUGACACUCAUAGUCCCAUGGAGUCAGGGAUGGACAAGACAGAGGGACCAGAGAUAAAGGAACCCAGGCGGAGGUUGCAGUGAGCUGAGAUCACGCCACUGCACUCCAGCCUGGGCAACAAGAGCAAAACUUGAUAGCUUUGCAUAGGGAAAAAGGGCUUUGAUGCUGGGGUUUUGAAAGGUGAGUAGGAGUCCAUCAGGAAAAAAAAGUAUGUAUUAAUUCGAAGUAUUAAACAUCCCUAGCCACCCCCAUUGGGAAAGAUGUGCCACUGAUUUGCGAGGUGGGAGGCGGGGGCCAGACUUGGGAAUAUGUGCAGCCCUUUCUGGGCUGGAACCAGGGUGCAUGGGUUGGGGUAGCUGCUGGGAAUAUGCGACCCCUGUCUUGCUUUGUGCAGAAACCCUUGGAAGAUCAGACCCAGCUCCUUACCCUUGUCUGCCAGUUGUACCAGGGCAAGAAGCCGGAUGUCUGCCCUCCCUCAACCAGCUCCCUCAGGAGUGUUUGCUUCAAGUGAUGGCCGGUGAGCUGCGGAGAGCUCAUGGAAGGCGAGUGGGAACCCGGCUGCCUGCCUUUUUUUCUGAUCCAGACCCUCGGCACCUGCUGCUUACCAACUGGAAAAUUUUAUGCAUCCCAUGAAGCCCAGAUACACAAAAUUCCACCCCAUGAUCAAGAAUCCUGCUCCACUAAGAACGGUGCUAAAGUAAAACUAGUUUAAUAAGC